rnacentral:rRNA from 1 species
GUGGGGAAUAUUGGACAAUGGGGGGAACCCUGAUCCAGCCAUGCCGCGUGUGUGAAGAAGGCCUUUUGGUUGUAAAGCACUUUAAGCGAGGAGGAGGCUACCGAGAUUAAUACUAUUGGAUAGUGGACGUUACUCGCAGAAUAAGCACCGGCUAACUCUGUGCCAGCAGCCGCGGUAAUACAGAGGGUGCAAGCGUUAAUCGGAUUUACUGGGCGUAAAGCGCGCGUAGGUGGCCAAUUAAGUCAAAUGUGAAAUCCCCGAGCUUAACUUGGGAAUUGCAUUCGAUACUGGUUGGCUAGAGUAUGGGAGAGGAUGGUAGAAUUCCAGGUGUGGCGGUGAAAUGCGUAGAGAUCUGGAGGAAUACCGAUGGCGAAGGCAGCCAUCUGGCCUAAUACUGACACUGAGGUGCGAAAGCAUGGGGAGCAAACAUGAUUAGAAACCCGAGUAGUCC